UUCGAUGAUACGCGAGAAACCUUACCAAGGGCUUGACAUAUACAGGAAUGUUGUAGAGAUACAGCAGCCGCUUGCGGUCUGUAUACAGGUGCUGCAUGGCUGUCGUCAGCUCGUGCUGUGAAGUGUUGGGUAAGUCCCGCAACGAGCGCAACCCUAUCAUCUGUUGCCAGCAUUUAAGGUGGGGACUCAGAUGAGACUGCCGGUGACAAACCGGAGGAAGGUGGGGACGACGUCAAGUCAUCAUGGCCCUUAUGUCCUGGGCUACACACGUGCUACAAUGGCCGGUACAGAGUGAAGCGAAACCGCGAGGUGAAGCAAAACGCAGAAAGCCGGUCUCAGUACGGAUUGGAGUCUGAAACUCGACUUCAUGAAGUUGGAAUCACUAGUAAUCGCGCAUCAGCAUGGCGCGGUGAAUACGUUCCCGGGCCUU
rnacentral:rRNA from 1 species